CAGGGUAAGUGGACAAUCGCUUCAUGCUUUUUUGUGUGGAGAGGAAAGUCCGGACUCCCUCCUACGCUGAAGCUUCGGAGGGCAGGCCUUUAGGGGUUUGUCUUUUGAUGAAGUUUUUUGUAGGUGUUGAGACAGUCGCUAACGGCGACCAAGAGCAAUCUUAGGGAAAGUGCCACAGAGACAAUACUAGCUAGUAUUUUUAUACUAGCCAAAGGUGAAAAGUUUUGAGGUGGGCAAAAUAGUUAGGAUAUCUGCUAUUAUGCGCUACUCAAUUCGCCCUCUGGCGACAGAGCGCGCGCGGUAAACCCUGUCUGGAGCAAGAGCAAACCCCUCACUUUUUGCAUAAUUUAUUAAAUUGCGCAAAAGGUGAGGGGGAAAAGUAGCUCGCUUGACCCCGUGGGCAACUGCGGGGCUAGAUAAAUGAUCGUCACCUGGCGCUUUUAGUGCUGGGAACAGAAUCCGGCUUAUAGCUUGCCCUGAUAU
rnacentral:RNase_P_RNA from 5 species